rnacentral:tRNA from 80 species
GCGGCCAUGGCGGAAUUGGUAGACGCGCUAGCUUGAGGUGCUAGUCCCGCGAGGGGUGGAGGUUCGAGUCCUCUUGGCCGCACCA